UGGAAGUGAUGAAAUAGAGAUCAGUUUGGUGCCAGCAUGCAUGUUGUGAAUGAAGUGUUUAUUUUGAUAUAUUUUGUAUUUAAUUUUUGUGUGUGUAAAAUACUUCUUGCUGUAGUAAGCAUUAGGGAUAGUGUUCUGGUGGGAUGGAACAGGUGAGAGUGUAUGUGUGAUUCAAAUAGGCUGGGAAAAAGGGGGCACUGAAGAUUGAGUAUCUCUGCUGACUUUGGAGUGCAUCUGAGGCCAAUUCUGUGUAAUCUAGAGGCUUUCAUUGUGAAUUGGCUGAUGAUUGGAGCCUCAUAGCAGCUCACCUUAUCAGCCUUGGCAUCCUGCAAUCUCUAGGACAUGCAUUUUUGCAGUGUUCCUGUAAUCUGAUCCAA